AACGAACGCUGGCGGCAUGCCUAACACAUGCAAGUCGAACGAGACCUUCGGGUCUAGUGGCGCACGGGUGCGUAACGCGUGGGAACCUGCCCUUAGGUUCGGAAUAACUCCCCGAAAGGGGUGCUAAUACCGGAUAAUGUCUUCGGACCAAAGAUUUAUCGCCUUUGGAUGGGCCCGCGUUGGAUUAGCUAGUUGGUAGGGUAAAAGCCUGCCAAGGCGACGAUCCAUAGCUGGUCUGAGAGGAUGAUCAGCCACACUGGGACUGAGACACGGCCCAGACUCCUACGGGAGGCAGCAGUGGGGAAUAUUGGACAAUGGGCGAAAGCCUGAUCCAGCAAUGCCGCGUGAGUGGUGAAGGCCUUAGGGUUGUAAAGCUCUUUUACCCGGGAUGAUAAUGACAGUACCGGGAGAAUAAGCUCCGGCUAACUCCGUG
rnacentral:rRNA from 1 species